GGCGCUCAGCUUUCAUUAGAUUAAAAUGUUAUUCGAUAACAAUUUUUUGAUAAAAAUUAUUUUUUGUUUUGAUAAAAAUUAUUGAGAAUAGCAUGAGUCGAGCUAGGAAUUUUUAACAAAUUGUUUAAAAUUUUUAUUUUAUUAGACAGAACGAUAGCAAAAUAUGUAAGCGGUUUUUUGAAAGUUAAAAUGAUUUGAAGUGAUUUCUCAAGUGAUAUUUAGACGAUAACAAGAGGAAAUACAAAAUUUAAAAGGAAAAAUUGUUUUUUAACUCGUUUGGUGAGAAGACAGAAGUGGAACGAAACUCAAGAUAUCAGAACUGUUGAUAAAUCUUCGAAAUCUGAUUUAUUGUUUAGCUUUUAUUGUAUUAGGAUUUUUUUCGUCGAGUGUUACAAAUAUUUGUUAAAUUUAGAAUAAUUUUUUUUUUGUAAAAUGAUCGAAUGAAUUUUCUACUGUAAAUUAUUUAGCUAGGGAUUUUAAAACCAAAAAAAUGCAUUUAUAUUAACUAGGAACUUAGCAAGUAUAAGUAAAUAGUUUUAAGCAAAAAGAAUUCAUUUUACAAGAGGAUUUAUUCAAAUUCAAGAGGAUUCACCACUCGACGUCAAAUCUAUUCCAACUUUCUUCACCGAACUUAAGGGUGACGUUAUCUCUUUGGUGAUGGAUUUUUCUACAAUUAUCUGAAGAGAAAUUUUUCUUCUACACUGGAGACCUUUGGGACUGUAGCGGAACAACGUAUGUGACAGCACCUCCACUAUGGUUUUGUUUUGGGCGCGUGACAGUCUGGGUGUAGGAUGGAAUAAAGGAUAAUAAAA